UACGUAGGGGGCAAGCGUUGUCCGGAAUCAUUGGGCGUAAAGAGCGUGUAGGCGGCUCGAUAAGUCUGCUGUGAAAGUCCAGGGCUCAACCCUGGAAGGCCGGUGGAAACUGUCGGGCUAGAGUCCGGAAGAGGCGAGUGGAAUUCCCGGUGUAGCGGUGAAAUGCGCAGAUAUCAGGAAGAACACCAAUGGCGAAAGCAGCUUCCUGGGACGGUACUGACGCUGAGACGCGAAAGCGUGGGGAGCGAACAGG
rnacentral:rRNA from 1 species